UACGGGGGGGGCAAGCGUUGUUCGGAAUUACUGGGCGUAAAGGGCGCGUAGGCGGCCUACUAAGUCGGACGUGAAAUCCCUCGGCUCAACCGAGGAACUGCGUCCGAUACUGGCAGGCUGGAAUCCGGGAGAGGGAUGUGGAAUUCCAGGUGUAGCGGUGAAAUGCGUAGAUAUCUGGAGGAACACCGGUGGCGAAGGCGGCGUUCUGGACUGUGUCUGACACUGAAAAACGAAAGCCAGGGGAGCAAACGGG
rnacentral:rRNA from 1 species